GCAUAUCAAUAAGCGGAGGAAAAGAAACUAACAAGGAUUCCCCUAGUAGCGGCGAGCGAAGCGGGAAAAGCUCAAAUUUGUAAUCUGGCGCUUUCGGCGUCCGAGUUGUAAUCUCGAGAAGUGUUUUCCGCGUCAGACCGCACACAAGUCUCCUGGAACGGAGCGUCACAGUGGUGAGAACCCAGUACACGGUGCGGAUGCCUGAUGCUUUGUGAUACACUUUCGAAGAGUCGAGUUGUUUGGGAAUGCAGCUCAAAUUGGGUGGUAAAUUCCAUCUAAAGCUAAAUAUUGGCGAGAGACCGAUAGCGAACAAGUACCGUGAGGGAAAGAUGAAAAGCACUUUGGAAAGAGAGUUAACAGUACGUGAAAUUGUUGGAAGGGAAACGCUUGAAGUCAGACUUGCUAUUCGGAGCUUGCUUCGAUUCGCAGGCCCGCAUCAGUUUUCCGGGGCGGAAAAUCGUAAGGAGAAGGUAGCAGUUUCGGCUGUGUUAUAGCUCUUUACUGGAUUCGUCCUGGGGGACUGAGGAACGCAGCGUGCUUUUUGCAUGGGCUUCGGCCCAUCCACGCUUAGGAUGCGGGUGGAAUGGCUUUAAACGACCCGUCUUGAAACACGGACCAAGGAGUCUAACAUGCUUGCGAGUAUUUGGGUGUCAAACCCGGAUGCGCAAUGAAAGUGAAUGGAGGUGGGAAGCGCAAGCUGCACCAUCGACCGAUCUGGAUUUUUUAAGA
rnacentral:rRNA from 1 species